UGGGGAAUCUUGCGCAAUGGGGGCAACCCUGACGCAGCGACGCCGCGUGAGUGAUGAAGGCCUUCGGGUUGUAAAGCUCUGUGGAGGGAGACGAAUAAGUCAUGGCUAACAUCCAUGAUGAUGACGGUAUCCCUUUAGCAAGCACCGGCUAACUCUGUGCCAGCAGCCGCGGUAAUACAGAGGAGCCAAGCGUUGUCCGGAUUGACUGGGCGUAAAGCGCACGCAGGCGGUCGGGCGCGUGGGGUGUGAAAUCUGGCCGCUUAACGGCCAGGCGCCAUCCCAUACGGCUCGACUGGAGCCUUGCAGAGGUCGGUGGAAUUGCCGGUGUAGUGGUGAAAUGCGUAGAGAUCGGCAGGAACACCCAGGGGGAAACCAGCCGACUGGGCAAGCGCUGACGCUGAGGUGCGAGAGCGUGGGGAGCGAAC
rnacentral:rRNA from 1 species